CCUACGGGGGGCAGCAGUGAGGAAUAUUGGUCAAUGGACGAGAGUCUGAACCAGCCAAGUAGCGUGAAGGAUGACUGCCCUAUGGGUUGUAAACUUCUUUUAUAAAGGAAUAAAACGAGGCACGUGUGCCCUUUUGCAUGUACUUUAUGAAUAAGGAACGGCUAACUUCGUGCCAGCAGCCUCGGUAAUAAGGAGGAUCCGAGCGUUAUCCGGAUUUAUUGGGUUUAAAGGGAGCGUAGAUGGGUUGUUAAGUCAGGUGUGAAAGUUUGCGGCUCAACCGUAAAAUUGCAAUUGAUACUGGCAGUCUUGAGUGCAGGUGAGGUAGGCGGAAUUCGUGGUGUAGCGGUGAAAUGCUUAGAUAUCACGAAGAACCCCGAUUGCGAAGGCAGCUUACUGGACUGUGACUGACGUUGAUGCUCGAAAGUGUGGGUAUCAAACAGGAUUAGAUACCCUUGUAGUC
rnacentral:rRNA from 1 species